CGAGGUUUGGCUCAGUUUGGUAGAGCGCUACGUUCGGGACGUAGAGGCCGCUGGUUCGAAUCCAGUAACCUCGACGA
rnacentral:tRNA from 1 species